CAGACAACCAGGAUGUUGGCUUAGAAGCAGCCACUCAUUAAAAGAGUGCGUAAUAGCUCACUGGUCGAGUGACCCUGCGCCGAAAAUUUAACGGGGCUAAAUCGUACACCGAAGCUUGGGAUGCAGUAAUGCAUGGUAGGAGAGCGUCGUAUAAGGGGUGAAGUCAGAGCGUAAGCGCUGGUGGACUUUAUACGAGUGAGAAUGCCGGAAUGAGUAGCGAGAAAUAUGUGAGAAUCAUAUUGGCCGAAAGUCUAAGGUUUUUGGAGGAAGGUUCGUCCGCUCCAAGUAAGUCGGGAGCUAAGGUGAGGCCUAACGGCGUAGCCGAUGCACAUACGGUAGAUAUUCCGUAACCACCGAAAGAUUUAAACACAGGGACACCUUGAAAGGGCAUAUCCCGGGAGUUGGUUUACCCGGGCGUAAGGGAUCGAAAUUUGAGUAGAGAAGUAUGUUUGGACGAGGGCGAGAAAAGCUGUGUGUAUAUUUUAGGUGCCCGUACCGCAAACCGACACAGGUGGACAGGAAGAGGAUUCUAAGGCCAACGGGAGAAGGGUAGUUAAGGAACUCGGCAAAUUGACCCCGUAACUUAGGGAUAAGGGGUGCUCAUAGGAAUAUGAGCCGCAGAGAAUAGGCCCAGGCAACUGUUUAUCAAAAACACAGGUCUCUGCCAAAUCGAAAGAUGAAGUAUAGGGGCUGACACCUGCCCGGUGCUGGAAGGUUAAGAGGAGGAGUGAGAGCUCCGAAUUGAAGCCCCAGUAAACGGCGGCCGUAACUAUAACGGUCCUAAGGUAGCGAAAUUCCUUGUCGGGUAAGUUCCGACCCGCACGAAUGGUGUAAUGAUCUGGGCACUGUCUCAAUUACCCGCCCGGCGAAAUUGUAGUACCGGUGAAGAUGCCGGUUACCCGCGACAAGACGGAAAGACCCCAUGGAGCUUUACUGCAGCUUGAUAUUGGGUUUCGGUAAUCUAUGUACAGGAUAGGCGGGAGACUAGGAAGUAAAGGCGCCAGCUUUUACGGAGUCGCCCUUGGGAUACCGCUCUUAGAUUGCUGGAAUUCUAACCUGCGGCCAUGAAACUGGUCGGGGAACAUUGUCAGGCGGGCAGUUUGACUGGGGCGGUCGCCUCCUAAAGAGUAACGGAGGCGCUCAAAGGUUGGCUCAGCACGGACGGAAACCGUGCCUCUGAGUGUAAACGCACAAGCCAGCCUAACUGCGAGGAUGACGGUCCGAGCAGUAACGAAAGUUGGAGUUAGUGAUCCGGCGGUAUGUGAAUGGAAAUGCCGUCGCUCAACGGAUAAAAGCUACCCUGGGGAUAACAGGCUGAUCUCCCCCAAGAGUCCACAUCGACGGGGAGGUUUGGCACCUCGAUGUCGGCUC
rnacentral:rRNA from 1 species